rnacentral:rRNA from 1 species
CCUACGGGUGGCAGCAGUGGGGAAUAUUGCGCAAUGGGCGCAAGCCUGACCCAGCGACGCCGCGUGAGGGAUGAAGGUCCUCGGAUUGUAAACCUCUGUCAGCAGGGAAGAACGGUCACUGUGUUAAUCAUCAGUGAAUUGCCGGUACCUGCAAAGGAAGCACCGGCUAACUCCGUGCCAGCCGCCGCGGUAAUACGGAGGGUGCGUGCGUUAAUCGGAUUUGCUGGGCGUAAAGCGCGCGUAGGCGGUAUGUCAAGUCAGGGGUGAACUCCCCGAGCUAAACCUUGGAACUGCCUUUGAAACGGGCAAACUGGAGUGUGGGAGAGGAUGGUGGAAUUCCAGGUGUAGGGGUGAAAUGCGUAGAUAUCUGGAGGAACAUCAGUGGCGAAGGCGACUAUCUGGCACAUAACUGACGCUGAGGAGCGAAAGCGUGGGGAGCAAACAGGAUUAGAUACCCUGGUAGUC